rnacentral:snRNA from 1 species
AUUCACUUGGCAGAAAAUAUACUAAAAUUGGAACGAUACAGAGAUUAGCAUGCCGCCUGCGCAAGGACGAGCAUAUGGUAUUGCAACUUUAAUUUU